GUUAUAGCAUAGACCAAACCUAGGAGGGUACGAAAGAGCUCAAACACUUGAGGUGGUCAUACAUGUGCUUCCUCAGAUCGAUGCUCAACUUUCUAUCAAUUUUAGCCGUAUUCACCUUGAUUUUUUCAGGAUACAGAUGAUCAUUCAUGGCCACGUGAAUAGCUAAAGGGAUUCUUGGACUUCCAAUUCCAAUACUAGAUGAUCUUCACCACUAAGAUGUGAACCGCACCAGGCUGCUUGUACUGCUCGUAUUGAAGCUGCAUGCAUAAGCAUAUUCAUCAUGGCAUCUGAAUUUGGGAAACUGCAUAAGUACCAACUUGUAGAUUAUAUUAUAACUCGAAGUUCUUGGUUUUCAAGUUGGACUAUUAGCAAGUCUCGUAAAACCUUUUGAUUAAUUACAUGGACCGAGGACGGUCUAGUCAAGAAUAUCAAUCUCUUCCAUUGUCUGGACUUUAUUAGACUUACUGGGAAGCUAUGCAAGGUUAUGACAAUGAGCUGUCAUUGGAGAAGUUAAACUUGGGAUUGUUCCUUUGGUCUAAGUAGGUUAUGCUAGCUUGUGUAUCCUUCUGCUCGUCUAAGUUAUAUCGUCAUUGUUUAUAUAGGUGAUCAUGACUGUCAGGAGCUUAAGAGGUUACAAACAGCACCAGUUAGAGACAUGUUCUUAAAGCAUUGAAAGAAGGCUUGAGGUUACUGAAGGCUGCCAGUUUGAAGACCUUCCUGUUUGGUUAUGAUACUCUUCUUCCUCUAAUGCUGUAACUUGGGUCCCUAUCAAGUACAUUUCAGAAAGAUUGCAAGCACCCUUCUGUGUAUGGAAUUGGGAGGUUCGGCUUCAAAGUUCUGUUGGUUAGACUCCUGAAGAUGAGAUGACCCUCAGAAGAAAAUCGCACCAACGUACAUGUACAGCUCACACUGAAGCUUCAUUUAGAAUGGCCUUGGAGUUGCAAAGCUGAUGGGAUGCUAAUAUGAUAAGCUGUCUAUGUCAUAACCUGAAGUUCUCAGUUCAUGUUGGACUGUUGGAGCAAUGCAUCUGAGGCACCAAUCAGACCUACAUUUGACAAGCUGUGGGGUGGCCAUGAUAGAUCAAAGAAGGGCAAUUUGCUUGUAGACACAAAGCCUGCUUCAUUUACUUUUGUUUCCCCUCGUCACUAGGAGAUUAAUUCCUUUUUGCAGAGGAUUGGGCAAGUACUCAUGCAUCCAAUAUUUGAUUGGGAGCCCAGCCCAGGUCUUCGUUCCCUAUUCCUUUUUGCUGAUACGAAUUUUCCU